GUACUGUGCGAACGUUAUUCGGAAUCACUGGGCGUUAAAGGGUGCGUAGGCGGGCCAAAUAAGUAGGGUGUGAAAUCCCUCGGGCUCAACCGAGGAAUUGCGCUCUUAAACUGUUUGGCUCGAGUAAGAUAGGGGUGUGUGGAACUUCCAGUGGAGCGGUGAAAUGUGUUGAUAUUGGAAGGAACGCCGGUGGCGAAAGCGGCACACUGGGUCUUAACUGACGCUGAGGCACGAAAGCCAGGGGAGCGAACGGGAUUAGAUACCCCGGUAGUCCUGGCUGUAAACGUUGAGCACUAGUUGGGAGGGGCUUCGGCCCAUUCGAACGCAGCGAAAGCAUUAAGUGCUCCGCCUGGGGAGUAUGGUCGCAAAGGCUGA
rnacentral:rRNA from 1 species